GCGAGAGUGGCGGAAUUGGCAGACGCGCUGGAUUUAGGAUCCAGUGAGUUUAUCUCGUGGGGGUUCGAGUCCCCCCUCUCGCACCA
rnacentral:tRNA from 1 species